CCACUCCUGACGUCACCUCCUCCCGCCCGACCGGAAAGCAUCUUCGUCCUCAAUCUGCGCACGCGUAGCUUCGCCCCACCUUCUCCUCCCGAACCUAGCAACCGGAAUGCGUGCCAGACGGUCACAGUCCAAUCGCUGACGAGAUCGAAAAGGCUGUGGGCGGGGUUUUCUCUUCCCUCGGAGCCAGUCGCCUGACGGCGCGCGGGGCAAGGCCCCCUGGCCGCACGUGAGGCUUCUGCACCCGGAAGGGAGCGCUCGGAACUCCUGAAAUACAGAUAUCAAGGGCUCCAGACAUUGUACAAGUUUCCCUUUAAGUUAUCAUAGGAAUGUAGAACAAUGCCAGUGGAUGGACCCCUCCCGGAGGAGUGUGGAAAGCAAAGACCAGUUGAUUUAGAAGUGACUAUUAAAAGUACUGCAUCCAAAGUCCAUUGCUCUUUGCCUCCCAGAAGGACUUUCCUUCCCUCAAAGUCAUCUCUCCACUAGUCUCAACAUCUUUCAUGAGAGAGAUAGAAGAGAAUUUCUCCUCCACCUCUACCCUGAUGUGUUUCAGGCUGGGCUCUAAAUUAACUCUAAAAAAGCACCUGCACAUACACAAAAUAAAAUGUUAGUCACCCUCCAUGAAAAGUGGAGGGCUUUAGAAUUACCUCCGUCCAAACCCCCUGGGCCUCAUGAACAAACAGUAACUCUUCAGUGGAGCAAUGGCCAGGCACCACCCUCACUUACUGCCCCACCCCCACCUCCACACACACGUCCCCUUUCUGUCCUCUUACUGUCUCUGGUUGCCCUCUGAAAGGGAGAAAAGAAAUCCACUCAACCUUAUAGUUUCUCCUGCCUGGGGUUUUGCCAGUUAGUGCCCCUGCUGUCCAGUGGUCCCCAGUGGAGGCAUAGGCCAAUGCCUGUCCACUGGCAAGGAGUGGGAUUAUCCUCACCCAUCAACCCACCACUGCUAACAGCCAUUCCUGGACCUCAGAACUCUUCACAAGAGGGCUGGAGAGAAAA